rnacentral:rRNA from 1 species
CCUACGGGAGGCAGCAGUGGGGGAUAUUGCACAAUGGGGGAAACCCUGAUGCAGCGACGCCGCGUGAGUGAAGAAGUAUUUCGGUAUGUAAAGCUCUAUCAGCAGGGAAGAAAAUGACAGUACCUGACCAAGAAGCCCUGGCUAACUACGUGCCAGCAGCCGCGGUAAUACGUAGGGGGCAAGCGUUAUCCGGAUUUACUGGGUGUAAAGGGAGCGUAGACGGUUAUGGAAGUCUGGAGUGAAAGCCCUGGGCCCCACCCCGGGACUGCUUUGGAAACUGUGUAACUGGAGUACAGGAGGGGCAGGCUGACUUCCUGGUGUAGCGGUGAACUGCGUAGCUAUCAGGCGGCACACCGGCGGCGACGGCGGCCUGCUGGACUGCACCUGCCGUUGAGGCUCG